CUGGUUCAGGUCGAACGCUUCUUUUGCAAACUAUGCAGUAGCCAGACUUCACCCACACACACCACGACGUGCUCUACGAGUGUCGCUGGCUGAUUAAGACAUGGUCAGGAAGAUCUUCACAGCUUUUCCCUUCUAGGUCUGCCACCCCAGGCUUCAUAUCUUUUGGCGACCUCAACACCAUCUCGUGGCUACGAGAUCUCUUGGCAGAUAUAUGGCCUCAAAGAUUCGGGUACGAUACUAUGGAAAAAGGCCUCAUCGACAUCUUUUAACCGAGUCAAUAUUGACUCAAACAGAGCCUCAUCUUGUGAGUGUAACAUACAUUCUCUAUCUUCCCCUUCCCAUACCACCGCUACCUACAAGACAGUGCCCGAUGCUCCUUUCAUGAGUAAUCGGGCGAUUCCGGUUAAGCGAAGAAGAACGUUACAUCACAUUUAGAGCCUGCUUCCUCUACUCUUCAAUGUCGCUACAUACGUGUAUGCGAGCGCCAAUUUAUUCAUGUGCUGAGCCCCUUUUGGGCGGCCAUGGGUGCGGUGCGAGUAGUGGGGAGGGAGGUGUCAUAUUGAUGUCAUAUUCCUAUCCUUCUGUCAUAUUUCGAUCUUUCCAUGUCAUUGCUUCAUAAUAGUCACUUUUAUAUUUUAUGAAGACCAUGCACCCAUGAUCAAUCGUCC
rnacentral:sRNA from 1 species